rnacentral:rRNA from 1 species
CAGUAGCCGCGGUAAUACGUAGGUGGCAAGCGCUGUCCGGAAUUAUUGGGCGUAAAGGGCUCGCAGGCGGUUUCUUAAGUCUGAUGUGAAAGCCCCCGGCUCAACCGGGGAGGGUCAUUGGAAACUGGGAAACUUGAGUGCAGAAGAGGAGAGUGGAAUUCCACGUGUAGCGGUGAAAUGCGUAGAGAUGUGGAGGAACACCAGUGGCGAAGGCGACUCUCUGGUCUGUAACUGACGCUGAGGAGCGAAAGCGUGGGAGCGAACAGGAUUAGAUACCCCCGUAGUCCCUGUCUCUUAUACA